rnacentral:tRNA from 1 species
GCUGAUGUGGCCGAGUCGUUAAGGCGAGUGACUUGAAUCAUCUCAUCACUUGGGCAUUGCCCGCGUAGGUUCAAAUCCUGCCGUCAGCG